UACGUAGGGGGCAAGCGUUGUCCGGAAUCAUUGGGCGUAAAGCGCGUGUAGGCGGUUCAGUAAGUCUGCUGUGAAAGUCCAGGGCUCAACCCUGGGAUGCCGGUGGAUACUGCUGGGCUAGAGUACGGAAGAGGCGAGUGGAAUUCCCGGUGUAGCGGUGAAAUGCGCAGAUAUCGGGAGGAACACCAAUUGCGAAGGCAGCUCGCUGGGACGGUACUGACGCUGAGGCGCGAAAGCGUGGGGAGCAAACAGG
rnacentral:rRNA from 1 species